AGCAGCCGCGGUAAUUCCAGCUCCAAUAGCGUAUAUUAAAGUUGUUGCAGUUAAAAAGCUCGUAGUUGAAUUUCGAGACCGGUUUAUUGGUCGUGCUUUUGUACGUACUGGUAUUAUUGGUUUCUCCUUUCUGACGAAUCUUAAUGCCAUUAAUUUGGUGUUGCAGGGAAUCUGGACUGUUACUUUGAAAAAAU
rnacentral:rRNA from 1 species